rnacentral:lncRNA from 13 species
AUGCAUGUAGCAUCAGGCAUGUGCAUUUGUGCAGGCCUAUGCAUGACUCUAUGUACAUACACACAUAUGUGUACAUGCACACGUGUGUGGGAAUGCAUGCCUAUGUAUGCCUCUGUGUGUGUACAUGCACACGUGUGUGUGGGUGCAUGCCUAUAUAUGCCUCUGUGUGUACACACACACACGUGUUGGUGCAUGCCUGUGUAUGCCUGUGUGUACAUGCACAUGUGUGUGGAGAUGCAUGCCUGUGUAUGUCCCUGUGUGUGCAUAUACAUGCACAUGUGUGUGGGUGCAUUCCUGUGCAUGCCUCAGUGUAUAUGUACAUGCACACGUGUGUGGGGAUGCAUGCCUGUGUAUUUCUCUGUGUGUAUGUUCAUGCACACAUGUGUGGGGGUGCAUGCCUGUGCAUACCUGUGUGUGUGUACAUGCACAUGUGUGUGUGGGUGCAUGCCUGUGCAUGCCUGUGUGUGUGUAUGUGUGUACAUUCACAUGUGUGAGGGGUGCAUGCCUCUGAGUAUAUACAUGCACAUGUGUGGGAAUGCAUGCCUGUGUGUGCCUCUGUAUGUAUGUACACACACGUGUGGGGAUGUAUGCCUGUGUAUGUCUGUGUGUGUGUGUAUGCUCAUGCCCACGUGUGUGUGGGUGCAUGCCUGUGCAUGCCUCUGUGUGUGUACAUGCAUAUGUGUGUGGAGGUACAUACCUGUGUAUGCCUUCAUGUAUGUGAUAUGUACAUACACACAUGUGGGGGAGUGAGAGGGCGCAGUGCCGAGAGGGAGCAACAUUUUUUUCUAGAUGUUAAGUUUCAAGAAGUUGGUGUCAUGGAGACAGCCAAUCCGACCCGGGAGACAGCGUUAAAAAACAGGGCUUCAGCUACUUGCAUGAUGUGGGGUGGGGAACCCGUCUGUCCUCCUAGCCGUGGAAUGUCCCUGUUGUAUUCAGAAACCUUUCCAUCCCUUGGAUUUUAAAGGAAAGUAUCCUUUCUGUCAGUAAAAUUUUCUUUCAAUCUCUUUUAAUAAAUCAUUUACAAAUAAUCUUCCA